rnacentral:rRNA from 1 species
UACGAAGGGGGCUAGUGUUGCUCGGAAUCACUGGGCGUAAAGCGCACGUAGGCGGAUUGCUAAGUCAGGGGUGAAAUCCUGGAGCUCAACUCCAGAACUGCCUUUGAUACUGGCGACCUUGAGUCCGGGAGAGGUGAGUGGAACUGCGAGUGUAGAGGUGAAAUUCGUAGAUAUUCGCAAGAACACCAGUGGCGAAGGCGGCUCACUGGCCCGGUACUGACGCUGAGGUGCGAAAGCGUGGGGAGCAAACAGG